rnacentral:rRNA from 1 species
GACAGAGGGUGCAAACGUUGUUCGGAUUUACUGGGCGUAAAGCGUGUGUAGGCGGCUUGGCAAGUUGGAUGUGAAAGCCCACGGCUCAACCGUGGAAGCGCAUCCAAAACUGCCUCGCUCGAGUCUCGGAGAGGAAGGUGGAAUGCUUGGUGUAGAGGUGAAAUUCGUAGAUAUCAAGCAGAACACCUGCGGCGAAGGCGGCCUUCUGGACGAUGACUGACGCUGAGACACGAAAGCGUGGGGAUCAAACAGG